rnacentral:rRNA from 1 species
UACGUAGGGUGCGAGCGUUGUCCGGAAUUAUUGGGCGUAAAGGGCUCGUAGGCGGUUUGUCGCGUCGGGAGUGAAAACACCGGGCUUAACUCGGUGCUUGCUUUCGAUACGGGCAGACUAGAGGCAUGCAGGGGAGAACGGAAUUCCUGGUGUAGCGGUGAAAUGCGCAGAUAUCAGGAGGAACACCGGUGGCGAAGGCGGUUCUCUGGGCAUGUCCUGACGCUGAGGAGCGAAAGUGUGGGGAGCGAACAGGA